CCCUGGUUAGCUUACUUGAUAAGCGCUCCACUGGAAAUGAAGAGGUCCCUGGUUCAAUACCAAAACCAGGAG
rnacentral:tRNA from 2 species